rnacentral:rRNA from 1 species
UACGGAGGGCGCAAGCGUUGUUCGGAAUCACUGGGCGUAAAGCGCGUGUAGGCGGCCCUGCAAGUCGGGUGUGAAAUCCCGAGGCUCAACCUCGGAACUGCACUCGAAACUGCUUGGCUCGAGUCCCGGAGAGGGUGGCGGAAUUCCCGGUGUAGGGGUGAAAUCCGUAGAUAUCGGGAGGAACACCAGUGGCGAAGGCGGCCACCUGGACGGUGACUGACGCUGAGACGCGACAGCGUGGGGAGCUAACAGG